rnacentral:rRNA from 1 species
GACGAACGCUGGCGGCGCGCUUAACACAUGCAAGUCGAACGGAAAGGCCUGCUUUCCCUUGUGGAUUGCGGGUACUCGAGUGGCGAACGGGUGAGUAACACGUGAGUGAUCUGCCCCCAACUUGGGUAUAAGCCUGGGAAACUGGGUCUAAUUCCCGAUAGGACUGCAGGGUGGUGCCUGUGGUGGAAAACGAUUUUCUAGUGGUUGGGGAUGAGCUCGCGGCCUAUCAGCUUGUUGGUGGGGUAAUGGCCUACCAAGGCGGCGACGGGUAGCCGGCCUGAGAGGGUGGACGGCCACAUUGGGACUGGGAUACGGCCCAGACUCCUACGGGAGGCAACAGUGGGGAAUAUUGCACAAUGGGCGGAAGCCUGAUGCAGCGACGCCGCGUGGGGGAUGACGGCCUUCGGGUUGUAAACUCCUUUCGACCGCGAGGAAGCCACCUGGUUGGAAGGGUGGUGACGGUAGUGGUAGAAGAAGCACCGGCUAACUACGUG